UGGGGAAUCUUGGACAAUGGGCGCAAGCCUGAUCCAGCCAUGCCGCGUGGGUGACAAAGGCCUUAGGGUUGUAAAGCCCUUUCAGCGAUGAAGAUAAUGACGGUAAUCGCAGAAGAAGUCCCGGCUAACUUCGUGCCAGCAGCCGCGGUAAUACGAAGGGGACUAGCGUUGUUCGGAAUUACUGGGCGUAAAGCGCGCGUAGGCGGAUCGGUCAGUCAGGGGUGAAAUCCCGGAGCUCAACUCCGGAACUGCCUUUGAUACUGCCGGUCUUGAGUCCGGAAGAGGAGAGUGGAAUUCCCAGUGUAGAGGUGAAAUUCGUAGAUAUUGGGAAGAACACCCGUGGCGAAGGCGGCUCUCUGGUCCGGUACUGACGCUGAGGUGCGAAAGCGUGGGGAGCAAACAGGAUUAGAUACCCCCGUAGUCC
rnacentral:rRNA from 1 species